CACCCACAGACUGUGCCUGUCACACUGAUUGACUAUUUUUUGCUGUCAGUGGACGUUAUCAAGGUGUGCAUCCAAGCUAUUGUUGAAGCAAACCCCAGGAGACUGAGCCCUAUUGGUGCAUGAUGUCUCCACCUGAUGGCUCUGCACAGCUUUGAUACCGUCUCUGUCCUGUGUUCCUGCGCAGCCCAAUGGAGCAGCUAAUAGCUACAGCUACCGACUGCACUGACCUGCACUGCACGGCUGCACAGGCCGGCAUUUCUGACCAACAGUCCACCAGGCAUUGAGAGAGAGUCAGCUGUAGCGGCAUGAGGACUGGUACCACUAUGUAAAGGGGAAGGCCAGGCCAAAACCAUCAAUAGUCCACCGGGCAAAUGCCCUGUAUGCCAUAUGGCCAGCCCAGUGACAGACAGAGCCUCAAAAGCUGGAGGUUUUCUUUCAAAGCACAGUGAUUUCAAAAAUAAAUAUUUCAAGCAAC